rnacentral:rRNA from 1 species
AACGAACGCUGGCGGCAGGCCUAACACAUGCAAGUCGAACGCCCUAGCAAUGGGGAGUGGCAGACGGGUGAGUAACACGUGGGAACGUGCCCUUCGGUUCGGAAUAACUCAGGGAAACUUGAGCUAAUACCGGAUACGUGCGAGAGCAGAAAGAUUUAUCGCCGAAGGAUCGGCCCGCGUCCGAUUAGCUAGUUGGUGAGGUAAUGGCUCACCAAGGCGACGAUCGGUAGCUGGUCUGAGAGGAUGACCAGCCACACUGGGACUGAGACACGGCCCAGACUCCUACGGGAGGCAGCAGUGGGGAAUAUUGGACAAUGGGCGCAAGCCUGAUCCAGCCAUGCCGCGUGAGUGAUGAAGGCCCUAGGGUUGUAAAGCUCUUUCGCCAGGGACGAUAAUGACGGUACCUGGAUAAGAAGCCCCGGCUAACUUCGUGCCAGCCGCCGCGGUAA